rnacentral:lncRNA from 1 species
GCAAGCACAGCACAGAAGGGUGUGCCCCACCCAGGGACAGAAGACAAGGCAGCAGGCCACGACCACAACAAUGCUGUCAGCAGAGGGGAAGGGCCUUGGGUGGGUGGGUGGGGGGUGUCAAAUCCUCUUCUCUACAUAGUUCCCAGGAUCCCAGAUCUCUUGGCCCAUCCCAUGAGGUACCUGACUGUCUACCAGCACUGUCUCUGGUAGCCAGCCAUUCACCGGUCCCUCAGAGGUGUGGCCCUGUGGGUCUGCCAGCUCCUCUGUCCUUCACAGAAGUCCAGCUGCCUGUGUAUCAUCUCUGUCACCUCGGAAAAUGUUACUAUGACAAUCCCUCCCUCUAAUCUGUCUCUACCUGCUUGUCUUGUCUCAGGGAGUCCACCCUCCCCGCCCUCCUGAUCCAGACAACAGCAAGAACAAGAUGAAAACACAGGGAGCUGGGGGGGAGGCGGGGAAUUCAUCAGGAACUCCCCAGGGGAUUAGCCCAGAGAGCAAGGGAUGGUGUGAUAGAGAGCCAAAGAUCUGGCUCACAUGGCACAGAACAGUCAUGACUCUCAGGCAGAGCGGGUGGGUGAGCGGGUGAGCGAGCAAAGUGCACAGCUGGGCAGGGUGCCAGGGCCCUGUGGGUCACACUCAGUUCUCUCGCUCUGUCAGACCCAUCAAGACAUGAGGUUACCCGCUUCAGGCUGAGGAACAGGUCUCAGGGGUCUCCUUCCCCCUCCUCGACCCCAGCAGCUGUUUUGUGCCUACCUGGGUGCUCUCUGAGCGAGAGAGAUUUGCUGAGGAAUGUAUAGAAGAAAGGAAAAUCUCAAGAAACCAGAGCGAGCCCUCCAAACUAGAAAACGAGAGAGGGUACUUUUCCAGAGAGUGGGAGGGCAUCUCAAGUGGGUCAACGACAGUGACAGGAGGGAUGGACGGUUCUCCCAUGCGGGAAUUGGGCUCUGGGGGGAUCAGGGGCAGCCAGGGCAAGACAGCAGUGCAGGAGGUUAUUUAUAGAGAGAGGAGCCUGGCACUGGCACGGAGGAGGCAAAGCCCUCAGGCCCAGCUGAGUGAGAAGGGGGCUGUCUGGGGUAGCCCUGAGUGGGGUGGGUGGGGCUAGGAAGGAGGUACCCCACAGCUUUCUGCAUCUAUAUGGAGGCCAGGCUAUACAUGGGCAUUGGCCCGAGAGGCAGGGAGGACUCUGGGAGAUGCCCGAGGACUCAGGGAGGCCUGCUUGAGGUCAAAAACCAGAAGAGGGAAACAGGAAAGGAGGUUAUCACCUGCUGAGAAGCCCCCCCAUCUCCAGGUCCACCAGGCCCGGACUGUGCCAUGCUAAGACCUUCCGUUGUCUCCAACGUAGGGAGGAGGGGGUAGUGGACAAAGUGGAGGGAGCAGGGAGAGGGGAGAGAAAGCCAGGUCCCCAAACCUAAGCCACACAUCACGUCCCACCCUCCUGCCCUCCGGCUCCCCAGGAGUCCCUAGCGGCCCACGCUGAUGUUGCAGGUCUUGCAGCUGGGAUCUUUCUUGGCGUCAGCAGUGGACAGGCUCAUGAGCUGGUGCCCGCUGAUCUCUCCCAGGGUGCCCAGGGACAGGUCGACAGGCUCGGUGUAGAUGAUCUCCAAGAUGAGGUCCUGAGCGUGGCGGAAGAUCAGCUCUCCAUCCUCCACACUGCAGGUCAGGAACUUGUUGCAGGCAAUGUCCAGGAGGGGCAGCCGGUCACGACAGAAGCGGUCCCCCAGGGAGCCUUUGGGUGCCAGCACCAAGAUGGCAUAGUGGUAGGCUGUGUACAUACAGUAGAAGUCCGCAAAGUAGAGGUUGGUGCUGGGGUUGAAGAGGCGCUGGGCAGGGAUCUGGAAGCGCCAGCGGCCGUAAGGGGAGUCCUGCGGGGGCUGGCCUGUGUUGAACUCCGUGUUGCAGCUGAAGAAGACCCCGUGCAGCAUGCCGCUGGUGGGGGAGCCGUGGCUACCGCUGUUGUCCUUCAGGAAACAGACCAGUGGGCAGAGA